UAUGUCAAUCGAAUGAAUACACCCGCAACAGAAAAUAAGCAACAUUACAACAAGAUCAGAGUUUGUAGAUACAGAGCGGACAGUGAAGUAGAGAAAUUCAAAGAUGAUGAUGAAGAGACUGAUGAGGGCCUUGUGUCCAUUGAAAUCUCAGUUACUACUUGCACAUUCUUCUGGUAAUUUCACUAGUUGCUUUGAUUUGUAUUCGCUUUGUCGCUUCUCCACUAAAUCAAACCCUAAUAAUUUCCCUUAUUCAUCUCAUCCAACUCAUGCUCGACUUCAACAUCUACUCCUUGAGAAGUCCAAGGUUGGUUUCGAUAAACUCGAUGAUGGUCUCCAAGUGUUUGAUAAAAUGCUCCUUAUGAAGCCUCUGCUUCCCGUUCUUAAAUUUAAUCAACUCUUAGCCGCUGUGAUUAAGAUGAAAGAGUACUCCGUAGCUGUCUCCCUUUUUAGAAAGAUGCGUGUAGAAAGCAUCCCUGUUAAUGUAAUUACCUUCAAUACUCUCAUUAACUGCUUUUGUCACUUGAAUCGUGUUGAUUUUGCCUUUUCACUAUUGGCUGGAAUCAUCAAGCAUGGUUUUGUCCCUGAUGUGUUUACUUAUACCACUCUCAUCAGGGGCCUUAUUUCCCAAGAUAUGCCUCAUGAGGCUCAGCUUUUGUUCCAGAACCUCAUUAGAUUUAAACUUAUUCAACCCAAUGUUGUUACCUAUACAACUAUCAUUGACGGCAUCUGCAAGAGAGGGAAUCCUUCUGUGGCUGUUAAGUUGUUUAAAAUUAUGGAGAAGAAAGGUUGCAGGCCUAAUACGAUCACUUACACCACAAUUAUUGACUGUUUAUGUAAACAUGGAUUAGUUGAUCAAGCAUUGGGUCUUCUCCACCGAAUGACAAGGAAAGGCAUAUCCCCAAAUGUUAUAACCUACAGCUCGUUAAUUCAAGGACUGUGUGACAUUAAUCGAUGGCAUGAUGUCAAAUUAUUGCUCAAGGAGAUGGAUGUUAGGAACAUUUCUCGAGAUGUUUUUACUUACAGCAUAUUGGUUGAUGCGUAUUGCAAAGAAGGAAUGAUUGAAGAUGCAGAGGAUGUGAUACAGUUGAUGAUUCAAAGAGGCCAUUAUCCUGAUGUAGUAACAUAUAAUGCACUAAUGGAUGGAUACUGCUUGAGGGGAGAGGUUGAUAAAACAUUAGCAGUGUUCGAAAGCAUGAAGAGAAAGGCAAUAUUGCCUGAUACACUUAGCUAUAAUACUCUCAUCAAUGGUUAUUGUAAAAAGUUGAAAGUGGACAUAGCAAUAGAUCUUUUUCAACAAAUGCCCUCUGAAGGUUUAACCCCAAAUACUGAGACUUACAAUACUAUACUGCAAGGUUUUUUUCGUGCGGGUAGACAUGUUGAAGCACGUAAAUUUUUUAAGGAAAAGAUGAUGCUUAACAAAGGUCUUCAGUUGAAUAAAGUGACUUGCGCAAUUUUAUUGGAUGGUCUUUGCAAGAAUGGUUAUGUUCGUGAAGCACUAUCCUUUUUCCAAAUGAUGGAAUGCAGUGGGCUAGUUCCUGAUAUAUAUAUUUACACCAUUCUGAUUGAUGGAUUAAGCAAAAACGGACAACUUGAAGCAGCAAGAACUCUUUUUAGCAACCUUCCUGCGAAAGGUCUGCGACCUAAUGUCAAGACAUACACAUUGAUGAUCCAAGCAUAUUUUCAUGGAGGGUUAUUGAAUGAAGCGACUGAACUAUUCAGGGAAAUGGAAGCUAAUGAUUGCUUGCCUACUGAUGUCACAUACAACAUGCUUAUCCGUGGUUGUUUACAGAAUAAGAAGUACUAUGAAGCAGGUGUAUUCCUAGAUGAAAUGCUUGGCCACAGCUUUGCAGCAGAUGCAUCUACAGCAUCUGCAUUACUGGACUUACUUGAAGUGCAAGAACCGGAUCCUCCUCUCCUUGCCUUGCGUGAUAAGUACUCUCCGAUCCUUAAGUGUUUGAAAGGAAGAGAGUGCCCAGGUAUUUUGUCAAGAAGGCUUACUCAAUAAAGCAAAUGAACCAUAUGUGGAAAUGGAAGAAAUGAUUGCUUCCCAAAUGAUGCUACCUCCAUCACCCUUAUCUGUGGUUUUUGCACAACGGGGCAAUUGUACUUAAAGAAGAGAUAUGUGGUCGCGGCUUCUCAGAAUAUAUGCUUCUAAGACCUCCAUGUUACUGGACUUGCUUGAAUGAACGGAGCGCUCAUUUAAAAGAGGUAGUUUUGAUGCAAGUAUAUUCAGGAUGAAGAAUUCUGGACUUGCUGUCUUUUCUAUUCAAACAGCUGCGACAGAGUUGAAGUAGUAUAUCGGCAGAUACCUCUACCACCUACAUGCCAAUGGACCUACUCAGAUCAGAAAAACAGGACCCAGUUCUUGCAUAGGAAGUUCUUGCCCCAAGUGUAGCAAGGAGAGAGUUUGUUAAGGUGCAAAAUAUUUUUAAAGGUUCUUCCACAAAUUUGGAGUUAAAUCAUAUUGGUAUGUAUUGGUGACUAGCUGUAUUAGUAUUAUGUCAAAUGCCACUGUUUUAAGUUUGGGCAAUUCCUCUUUGUUUGUAUUUAGUGUAGUUAUAUCUCGCAACAUACUAUGAUUACAGUUUGUAUUGCUCGCCAGUUGCUGUUACCCACAACACACUUGUUUGUAGUUUUUAUAUACAAUUAAGUACAGUGAAGCAGGUGUACAUGUAGAUCAGAUGCGUUCUCGUCACUUCUCAGCAGAUGCAUCAGCCACUUACUGGACUUGCUCAAACCACAAUAUGCCCAGAAUCGUUGCGUUAAAGGCUCAGGUUAUGCUUUUAGGACAAGGCUCAGGUGCAACGGCUCAGAUCAUUCAUGGACAGAUGCAUUGCCGAUAGAGGUGAGUCCCAUGUGUUAGAAAUCAUGGGCCAAGGUACAAUUUACUUAUAUUUCACACAAAACUUUGUUUUGCACUAAGUCGGGGGUCUCACGGAAACAGCCUCCUUACUCUAAAUGAGUAGGGGCAUGGUCUGCGUACAUUUUACCCUCACCAGACCCUGCUCUAAGCGGGAUAUACUGGGUUAAUUGUUUGGUUUGGUUUGGAAAGGGAGAGAUUGCUAAGGUACAUAGUUUUUUUCAUUUGCCAACAUUCUCCUGAUGUAGCCAGUCUUAUCAAAAACCAAUUAGUGCGACUUUGCUAAAGUUGCAGUAUAAUAGUCUCUUUCUCAUUUUAAGAUGCCUGGACGGAUAUUCAAAGUCAAAACUGCACAAAAAUGAAAGUAAUGUAGUAUAUGUUUAUAUCAUUCCUCCUUCACUUUUCACGCAUGACUCUAAAUCGAGAGUCUCUUAGUGAUAUUUGAAUUUUCAGAAGGUUGUCUACUAGUCUGUUUCUUUCCUCCACAAAGGAGAUAGUUCCGUAUUAUACUCUUCUUUACUAUAACCUCUCGUUACUACUGUUAGAUUCUGACAACGAACAACCUGGAUCAAGUGAUACUGACUGUGUAGGUUUUUAAUCCCUUGCCAAUUGGCAGUAGCAGAUCCCAAGACCCCUGUCUAGCACUUUCAGGUGAACACCUGAAAGAGUUGUGUAGAGCUUUUCAACUAGUUGAUAGAUAAAACCCACCAAAUUCUUCUACACACUUCUGAAUUACAAGAGAUAAAAGACUUGAGAUUAGUGUUGAUAUCAGUCCUUCCCUGCGAACGAUACUCUCAAAAUACUCGACAACAUCAUCCCAGGUCUUUAAUAAAAAUAAAAUUGCAGCUCUUAUCUUAUGUUACCACAGUAAAAAAACCCUUGAGCAAAUGCAACUAUAAUUUACUCAACUCUCUCAUUUUCUAUUGAAAUCUCAUAGUAUUUUUUUUUUAUUUUUCUCGGUGAAAAAAUAAUCAGUUACAAUUAUAAUCAGAAAUCAAUUCUCCGAUUUGUCCAGAUCUCCAGUAUCUUACUGAGUUACCGGUGUGCUUGAUGAUGUCCAAAUUCUUACAAAUUCAUUUCUUGCGUGGUUCACGCUUGCUGUCAUAUAUGAAUUAGACUAUCAGACUUUUCAAGAGUUGUACACUUGUACUGUAACUGCCUGAGUUAUGUGUAGUCUUCUUAGUCACUAGGUCAGAUGUUCAGCUGAUCAUCUCAUUACUCAAUGCAUUGAUUACUGCUGUCCAUCUCAUGACCAUAAUAUGCUCCUUUAGGGUAAUUUUCUUGCUGCCGCAAGGUAGCUGUCCGAAUGGAAAAUAUAAAUGUGUAAAAUAAGUUAAACUUUAGAAAUCUAUUAUCUAUUAAAACCUUUUGUUUCAAUACCAGAUACUAUGACAUGCAAUAUCUUGCAAAAUGGCCUUUGCAGUACUUAUUUGAUAAUGAAACACUGUCCUUUCAGUUGAUGCAAUUCAGUGAUUUCAUUCCUGAUAUUAUCAUGUCUAAUAUCCUGCUUGACAAGUUUUGCAGGAAACGAAGAGGUUUACAAUGCCAAAUAUCUUUAUGUUAACUUACUUUCAACGACUGCAAAAACAGGACAUACACAAUGCUGAUGUAAGGAUUUGUCGAGAAGGUUUGACGAAAUAAUGCCCUGUUUGGAGGAGUUGAAGCUGAAAUGAUUGCUUGCCAGAUAAUGCACCCACAUUAUACUCGAAUGUGAAGGUAUUCAAACUAAGAAGUACAGUGAAGCAUUUCUAUUCAUUUCAGCGCAAAGUUUUUGGUUUUUACCGGUGCUUCAAAGAUGCAUCUCGGCUUCCAUUUAAAGAAGCCUAAUCGAUAGAGCAGUACAGUGGCCCAUCGUACCACAAAUGAAGUAGUUGACUCCAUUUUGCAGUGUUAUUGCAUCAUUUCCGGUGCUCAGGACUUUUGCCUUGUCAGAUACAACACAGUUCAGAUGAUUGCUGGCUUACCGAUUAUGUCACCUGCGUGAAAGGUUUUCCCAGAAGGCCAAUCUUUUAUGUUGAAGUCCCAAUCGACAUAAUAAACCACUGCAUUUGUUUGUCAUUGACAAUAGUAAACAAAGAAAAUGCCGUGAUCGUAACUUCAAGGGUUACAGUGCAUGACAAUAAGAAGUUUGAGGAUGAGAGAGCACCAGUAACUGUAUAGGGAAAGAUGAAGCUCAUCUUCGGAACCAAUUAACAAUA